ACGGGUGCGUAACACGUGAGUUACAUGCCCUGCAGUGGGGAAUAGCCCGCCGAAAGGCGGAUUAAUACUCCAUGGUCCCGCAAGGGUAAAGGUGGCGCAAGCUGCCGCUGCAGGAUUGGCUCGCGGCCUAUCAGCUAGUUGGCGAGGUAACGGCUCACCAAGGCGACGACGGGUACCUGGUCUGAGAGGAUGAUCAGGCACACUGGAACUGAGACACGGUCCAGACACCUACGGGUGGCAGCAGUCGAGAAUAAUUCACAAUGGGGGAAACCCUGAUGGUGCAACGCCGCGUGGAGGAUGAAGGUCUUCGGAUUGUAAACUCCUGUCAUCUGGGAGUAAGACCUGACGGUGAAUAGCCGGCAGGGUUGAUAGUACCAGAAGAGGAAGGGACGGCUAACUUCGUGCCAGCAGCCGCGGUAAUACGAAGGUCCCAAGCGUUGUUCGGAAUCACUGGGCGUAAAGGGAGCGUAGGCGGCGUGGUAAGUCAGAUGUGAAAUCCCGGGGCUCAACCCCGGAACUGCAUCCGAUACUGCCAUGCUUGAGGGUUGGAGAGGUAGCUGGAAUUAUCGGUGUAGCAGUG
rnacentral:rRNA from 1 species